CCCUCUGGGGUGCAGCAGGCCUACACGAGCAGUAUUGGAGACUAUUUGGAUCUGCAUGAGCGGGUGCUCGGCGUGUACGGCCCCGAUGAGCCCGAUGCCCACGACAAUCAAGGCGGCGGCUAUGAGAAAGGGUUAGGCUGGUGGGCACGGCAGCUUAGUGAGGCCGGUUGGCAGGAUGCGGUGGCACGUUAUUCGCCGCACACGGCGACGUGGCUGAUUAUGGAUGGUACCACGCGUCCGCUGAAUUGGUUUGUCUAUGGGCAAUUAGCGGAUGUAAGCUGUUUCGAUCCGUAUCCGGUGACGUAUGACGGCAGCGAUCAUGCUUAUGUGCGGGAGAGC
rnacentral:rRNA from 1 species